rnacentral:rRNA from 1 species
UACGAGGGAUCCUAGCGUUGUUCGGAAUCAUUGGGCGUAAAGGGUGCGUAGGUGGCCUUGCAAGUCAGUUGUGAAAUCCCCGGGCUCAACCCGGGAAGUGCUUCUGAUACUGCUUGGCUUGAGUAUUGGAGAGGUGAGUGGAAUUCCAGGUGUAGUGGUGAAAUACGUAGAUAUCUGGAGGAACACCGGCGGCGAAGGCGGCUCACUGGCCAUAUACUGACACUGAAGCACGAAAGCGUGGGGAGCAAACAGG